rnacentral:rRNA from 1 species
UACGGGGGGGGCAAGCGUUGUUCGGAAUUACUGGGCGUAAAGGGCUCGUAGGCGGCCAACUAAGUCGGACGUGAAAUCCCCAGGCUCAACCUGGGAACUGCGUCUGAUACUGGAUGGCUUGAAUCCGGGAAAGGGAUGCAGAAUUCCAGGUGUAGCGGUGAAAUGCGUAGAGAUCGGGAGGAACACCGGUGGCGAAGGCGGGUCUCUGGGCAAUUCCUGACGCUGAGGCGCGAAAGCGUGGGGAGCAAACGGG